rnacentral:tRNA from 1 species
GUCCCCGUAGCUCAGCUGGACAGAGCAUCGGUUUCCUAAACCGAAGGUCGGCAGUUCGAAUCUGCCCGGGGACACCA